rnacentral:lncRNA from 1 species
AAGUUCAAAUCCAAAUUUUAGAUUCAUCACAUUUUAAAUGAAUACAAAACAUGAAGAAAUAUCAUAAUAAUAAUAAAAUAAUAAUAAUAAUAAUAAUAAUUAAAACUAAAACCACCGAAAGAUGUCUAGCUGCUUCUCUCUUUUGAGAGACGGAUGCAACUCUAGUUAGAGUUUUCCGAAACCAAUCCCUAACCCUAGCCGCCACCGUAACGUACAAAACCCUUGAGCCCUACACGCAAUCCAUCCCUCCCAUCGUCCAUCACGAAUCUCUCUCUGGCCAACCAACCUCCGACGUCAUCGCCCCAUCGUCCCUAAUGGGUGACCCACCAUCACCAAAUCGCCUGACAGUUGGCCGAACCGAAGCUCGAAGACCUCGUUCAACUCGACCGGCGCCGGGGAACUCUUCGUUGAGAUUCUCUUCAAUGGGAGCCGGUGAAACUGGCAGCGGGGCAAGAUUGGAGGGUUCACAGCGAGCGGUCGACGAGCAACAAAUCACACGCAACACGGCGGCAGUAGCAAUGCCGAUCCCUUCAGUGGUAGCUCCUUCCCUAGCUGAUUUCGGCGAACAGCCUCUAGCAACUCAACUUCGGGUCUGGAAAACUACGGAACCCGCAGCCGGCCAGCCAGAGGCGGCCGGUCAGUCUAAAUAGGUAGUAGUUUGGAGAACCAUAGUACUAGUGUUGUGGUGUUUCCAAUAAAAACAUGUAGUCCAUUAGCUAGUUUUUACAGGUUUUGUUGAUUUUAUUUUAUUUUCGGCUAUUUAGUGCCUUAGAUCCUUUUGUGGUUGUCCGAGAACAGAAGAGAAAGGAUUGAGGUUCUUGUUUUUAUAAAGACUUGUGAUCCAUAUAGUUUUGCUUGUGAUAACUAUACCUCCCGUUGGACAUUUGUACAACUUUUUGAUUCGUUUAAAAGAAAUUAGGGAUUUUGUAAAAAAUAAUAAUAAUAAAAUUGCAGAACUUUAUUCAGAAAUUUUCCUUGAAUCAUUAAAAAAUGAAUUGAGAAAUUAUUUGUCUUCUUUGAACCAACUGAAAUGGAACAGAAAUCUGAACCGAAGUGAUAAGAUAGCACUGAAAUUUGAACCAACUGUUUCUUUAUAGUUUUAGAUGUGAGGAAUUAAGAUAGUAAAUAUAAAUAAAUUUAAAAUUUACUUA